rnacentral:rRNA from 1 species
GUGGGGAAUUUUGGACAAUGGGGGCAACCCUGAUCCAGCCAUGCCGCGUGCGGGAAGAAGGCCUUCGGGUUGUAAACCGCUUUUGUCAGGGAAGAAAUCCUUUGGGUUAAUACCUCGGAGGGAUGACGGUACCUGAAGAAUAAGCACCGGCUAACUACGUGCCAGCAGCCGCGGUAAUACGUAGGGUGCGAGCGUUAAUCGGAAUUACUGGGCGUAAAGCGUGCGGAGGCGGUUUUGUAAGAUCGAUGUGAAAUCCCCGGGCUCAACCGGGGAACUGCAUUGGUGACUGCAAGGCUGGAGUGCGGCAGAGGGGGAUGGAAUUCAGCGUGUAGCAGUGAAAUGCGUAGAUAUGCGGAGGAACACCGAUGGCGAAGGCAAUCCCCUGGGCAUGCACUGACGCUCAUGCACGAAAGCGUGGGGAGCAAACAGGAUUAGAUACCCCAGUAGUCC